AGAACAAUGUACAAAUGUUAUCGAUAAACAAUUGGAGGGCAAGUCUGGUGCCAGCAGCCGCGGUAAUUCCAGCUCCAAUAGCGUAUAUUAACGUUGUUGCAGUUAAAAAGCUCGUAGUUGAAAUGUGGGAUGAAGUAUAUAAUGAAUUUCUAAUUCAAUUGUAUAUUGAUUCCCCUCUCCAAUUUAUUAUUAUGGGUAUUAAUUUAUUUGUAAUAAGAAUUGGUCAUUUACUGUGAGAAAAUUAGAGUGUUCAAAGCAGGCAUUUGCUUGAAUAGAUUAGCAUGGAAUAAUACUAAAAGGCUUUUAUGGUCGAUUUAAUUGGUUUGUUCAUAAAAGCAAGAUUAAAAGGAACAGUUGGGGGUAUUC
rnacentral:rRNA from 1 species